GUGCCAGCCGCCGCGGUAAUACGGAGGAUUCAAGCGUUAUCCGGAUUUAUUGGGUUUAAAGGGUGCGUAGGCGGUUUGAUAAGUUAGAGGUGAAAUUUCGGGGCUCAACCCUGAACGUGCCUCUAAUACUGUUGAGCUAGAGAGUAGUUGCGGUAGGCGGAAUGUAUGGUGUAGCGGUGAAAUGCUUAGAGAUCAUACAGAACACCGAUUGCGAAGGCAGCUUACCAAACUAUAUCUGACGUUGAGGCACGAAAGCGUGGGGAGCAAACAGGAUUAGAAACCCGUGUAGUCC
rnacentral:rRNA from 1 species